CGCCGUAUUUGUGGUUUUAGCUCCAUAAAUGGCUCUUCCGGUGUAACUGGAGCCAUUUUGGUAUCCUAUUUUUGGUAAAACAACUCCUUAUGCAUAAAAAAAAUAAAUAUUGAAAAGACAAAAAAUCCUUCCUUUUCUCAUCAUUUUCUUCUCUUCCCUUGUCUACCAAAUGAACGCGAUGAAUCUCAGGAACCACGUCCGCCGCUCCCUCGACCCACCGGCACCGGCCACCCGCCACGCACCCUAGCCGUCGUGUGCCCGCACGAGUUCUCUUCUUCGCACACAUUUCUUUCUCGAUGGGGUAGAGUGCUACGACGCUUUCAUCUACUACUAGUAAUUUUGGCACGCCCCUGCGCAC
rnacentral:lncRNA from 1 species